AGAGCCUGAUAUACAGCUGGGAUGUAGAGGAUCAUCUGGCAAAGAUAGUGAGGCAGAACUGGUCUUUAAAUACGGCAGGAUCAGCGUGGAGAUGAUUGACCAGAUCAGGAACAGGUGUGUUGGAUAACUGCAGAUCAGGUAACUGCAGCCCUGCUCAGCUACAGACAGGCUCCAGAUGAGCAUCGUAGUGAGCCCACUUGUGAUUUUAGACCGGGCCAGAGGGACUCGUUAGUGCACCAGUAAGCUGAACGCUUCCACUGGAAGGACUGACAUCGCUGGUUAUCACUCACACCACUGUGACUGGCAACUCCAGGGUGUCGGCACAGUGAAUGGGCACAGAUGGCUGUGAGUUAUCUGAUCUGUAAAGUCAAGGCUUUAUGGCAAGUAAAGCAUGUUUGCUACUUCUGCACUUUCAAAUUUGCAGAAAGACUCAUCAUUAACAAAUUAAUGAAGUUAACGCACGCUUUACAAUCAAAAGCAGCACCAUAUUAUGGCAGACAUAGAUGAAAAAAAAAAACCUCAAUGUGGUAUUGUCACAUGAUUAACACACACUGACACAAAAUGACACACUGACAGCUAAGGACAACAAAGUUUCUAUUUCACCCAACCUGCAUGUCUGAUGUGAUAAAACCGAAAGCUGACAAACCCAAGACCUUUCUGCUGUGAGGAGACAGUACUCAGCAAUGAGUCAGUGUGGAGUCUGGGCACCAAGCUCUCAAUGAAUGUUUUAUAGCUACGUGAGAGGUAGACACAGCCAACCAAUGACUAAAGAGA